AGGUCCCAAGGGUUGGGCUGUUCGCCCAUUAAAGCGGUACGCGAGCUGGGUUCAGAACGUCGUGAGACAGUUCGGUCCCUAUCCGCCAUGGGCGCUGGGAGCUUGAGAGGAGUCGUCCCUAGUACGAGAGGACCGGGACGAACGGGCCUCUGGUGUAUCAGUCGUCGUGCCAACGGCGCUGCUGAUUAGCCACGCCCGGAUGGGAUAACCGCUGAAAGCAUCUAAGCGGGAAGCCCACCUCAAGAUGAGGCUCCCCAUCCCCUCGAGGGAGUAAGGGCCGUGGGAGACGACCACGUUGAUAGGCGGGACGUGUAAUCGCAGCAAUGCGUUGAGCGGACCCGUACUAAUUGCCCGAGGUCUUGAUUUC
rnacentral:rRNA from 1 species